rfam:Salmo salar isolate Sally breed double haploid chromosome ssa27, whole genome shotgun sequence.
UGCAUUCAUUACUGUAAGUCGCUCUGGAUAAGAGCGUCUGCUAAAUGACUCAAA